AUUGAACGCUGGCGGCAUGCUUUACACAUGCAAGUCGAACGGUAACAGGCCUUCGGGUGCUGACGAGUGGCGAACGGGUGAGUAAUGCAUCGGAACGUGCCCAGAGGUGGGGGAUAACGCAGCGAAAGCUGUGCUAAUACCGCAUGUGAUCUGAGGAUGAAAGCGGGGGACCAGGCAGCAAUGUUUGGCCUCGCGCCUUUGUAGCGGCCGAUGUCAGAUUAGGUAGUUGGUGGGGUAAAGGCCUACCAAGCCGUCGAUCUGUAGCUGGUCUGAGAGGACGACCAGCCACACUGGAACUGAGACACGGCCCAGACUCCUACGGGAGGCAGCAGUGGGGAAUUUUGGACAAUGGGCGCAAGCCUGAUCCAGCAAUGCCGCGUGCGGGAAGAAGGCCUUCGGGUUGUAAACCGCUUUUAUUAGGGAAGAAAAGGAUUUUGGUAAUACCUGGGGCUGAUGACGGUACCGUAAGAAUAAGCACCGGCUAACUACGUG
rnacentral:rRNA from 1 species